UGUCAGUGUGGUACUUCCAGUAGAUCAUUCUGAUCCUCACUGUGGUCUCAGUAGGAGAGAGAAGAAGAAGACAGUGCCUGAGAAA